rnacentral:rRNA from 1 species
GAGUUUGAUCGUGGCUCAGAUUGAACGCUGGCGGCAUGCCUUACACAUGCAAGUCGAACGGCAGCACGGGAGCUUGCUCCUGGUGGGCGAGUGGCGAACGGGUGAGUAAUGCAUCGGAACGUAUCCUGGAGUGGGGGAUAACGUAGCGAAAGUUACGCUAAUACCGCAUAUUCUGUGAGCAGGAAAGCGGGGGACCUUCGGGCCUCGCGCUCUUGGAGCGGCCGAUGUCGGAUUAGCUAGUUGGUGAGGUAAAGGCUCACCAAGGCGACGAUCCGUAGCAGGUCUGAGAGGAUGAUCUGCCACACCGUA